rnacentral:rRNA from 1 species
CGUACAGGUCUCCGUAGGUGAACCUGCGGAGGGAUCAUUACACAAAUAUGAAGGCGGGCUGGAACCUCUCGGGGUUACAGCCUUGCUGAAUUAUUCACCCUUGUCUUUUGCUUACUUCUUGUUUCCUUGGUGGGUUCGCCCACCACUAGGACAAACAUAAACCUUUUGUAAUUGCAAUCAGCGUCAGUAACAAAUUAAUAAUUACAACUUUCAACAACGGAUCUCUUGGUUCUGGCAUCGAUGAAGAACGCAGCGAAAUGCGAUAAGUAGUGUGAAUUGCAGAAUUCAGUGAAUCAUCGAAUCUUUGAACGCACAUUGCGCCCUUUGGUAUUCCAAAGGGCAUGCCUGUUCGAGCGUCAUUUGUACCCUCAAGCUUUGCUUGGUGUUGGGCGUCUUGUCUCUAGCUUUGCUGGAGACUCGCCUUAAAGUAAUUGGCAGCCGGCCUACUGGUUUCGGAGCGCAGCACAAGUCGCACCCUCUAUCAGCAAAGGUCUAGCAUCCAUUAAGCCUUUUUUUCAACUUUUGACCUCGGAUCAGGUAGGGAUACCCGCUGAACUUAAGCAUAUC